GUUCCUAGGCCGAAGCUGGCCAACCUCGUAGAAAGCGCUCGGUGUGUCCUUUAAACGAGCGGAAAAACUCAUUGGCUCUCUUCCCUGCGCACCGUUUAGAGAAGAAAACUAUUUCAGCUCAGAAAGCCUAAGUUUCCAGACGUUAAGAAAUUUUAAAUCUGCUUGGGUCCUUAUUAUGCCCAUUUUGAAGUCUAUAAAACAACGAUGCCUCCUCUAUCAGGAAUGCUGUAAAUCACUCUGAUGCUGUAGUUCCGGAAAGAUGUUGAACUCCCCACUGGAAAAACCCUACCAGAAAUAGGGAAGCAGAGGACCUGUUGCUGACCCAGGCUCCAGGGCAGAAGGCAGGGUGGAGAAUACUUGAAUGUGGAUCUGGAAGGCAAGCAAAAGACACUAAGCAAACUGACUGAAGAGGUUUUUAAAAGCUACAAUGGGGACUCUUUGGUCAUCUUCUUGUUGGAAGAGGACAGCUGGGGAGACAGAGAUAGCUACAGUUAUUGGAACUAUGACUAAGACAUCAGAGAAGAAAGGUUGCUGGGAUCCUUGCCUUUGUGAAAAUGCGCUCUACACAGCCCAACUUGCUGCCUGGAGGAGAUGGAGCUGCUGCUUCCAAGGAGUCUUGCAGAAUUGGAUAAGAGGCAUAUUACAGGGGGCCAUUAAAGACUGAAAUCCUGAAGAGCUCUCAUGGAAUCCUUUGUACCAUAAGGGAAGAGACUCAGAUCAGAUUUGAUUUGAUAUAGAAAAAAUAAUGAACCGUUUUUACUGUUUCUGAGUGUUGUAACUAAAUAAAGUUCAUAUGGACUCCAGCAGGAAGUGAAUAAAUAAUAGAGAUUUCAAUAAUGAA